rnacentral:rRNA from 1 species
GACGAACCGUGCGACCGUUGUUCGGAAUCACUGGGCGUAAAGGGUGCGUAGGCGGGUCUUUAAGUCAGGGGGGAAAUCCUGGAGCUCAACUCCAGAACUGCCUUUGAUACUGAAGAUCUUGAGUUCGGGAGAGGUGAGUGGAACUGCGAGUGUAGAGGUGAAAUUCGUAGAUAUUCGCAAGAACACCAGUGGCGAAGGCGGCUCACUGGCCCGAUACUGACGCUGAGGCACGAAAGCGUGGGGAGCAAACAGG